GAAAGAGUGAAGUAGGUAUGGGGAUUGGAUUAAGAAGAGAAAGGAGGGGGAAGGGGGAGAACAGAACGGAGGGGCGGAGAGACGCCGGCGUGGGGAAUCUUCCGCAAUGGGCGAAAGCCUGACGGAGCAAUACCGCGUGAGGGAGGAAGGCUCUUGGGUUGUAAACCUCUUUUCUCAGGGAAGAACACAAUGACGGUACCUGAGGAAUCAGCAUCGGCUAACUCCGUGCCAGCAGCCGCGGUAAUACGGAGGAUGCAAGCGUUAUCCGGAAUGAUUGGGCGUAAAGCGUCCGCAGGUGGUGAUGUAAGUCUGCUGUCAAAGCGUCUAGCUCAACUAGAUACAGGCAGUGGAAACUACAUGACUAGAGUGCGUUCGGGGCAGAGGGAAUUCCUGGUGUAGCGGUGAAAUGCGUAGAUAUCAGGAAGAACACCGGUGGCGAAAGCGCUCUGCUAGGCCGCAACUGACACUGAGGGACGAAAGCUAGGGGAGCGAAUGGGAUUAGAUACCCCAGUAGUCCUAGCCGUAAACGAUGGAUACUAGGCGUGGCUUGUAUCGACCCGAGCCGUGCCGUAGCUAACGCGUUAAGUAUCCCGCCUGGGGAGUACGCACGCAAGUGUGAAACUCAAAGGAAUUGACGGGGGCCCGCACAANCGGUGGAGUAUGUGGUUUAAUUUGAUGCAACGCGAAGAACCUUACCAAGACUUGACAUGUCGCGAAUCCUGCUAAAGGCGGGAGUGCCUUCGGGAGCGCGAACACAGGUGGG
rnacentral:rRNA from 1 species